rnacentral:rRNA from 1 species
CCUGCCUACGGGGGGCAGCAGUGAGGAAUAUUGGUCAAUGGUCGGGAGACUGAACCAGCCAAGCCGCGUGAGGGAGGAUGGUACAGAGUAUCGUAAACCUCUUUUUUCAGGGAACAAAGACUGGGACGCGUCCCCGGAUGAGUGUACCUGAAGAAAAAGCAUCGGCUAACUCCGUGCCAGCAGCCGCGGUAAUACGGAGGAUGCGAGCGUUAUCCGGAUUUAUUGGGUUUAAAGGGUGCGUAGGCGGACAGUCAAGUCAGCGGUAAAAAUGCGGUGCUCAACGCCGUACAGCCGUUGAAACUGGG